UCACCCCACUUAUGAAGAAACCUGUCCUGGGAUUCAGGGACUUGGCCAAUUACUAUUAAACACCCUUUAACACCCUCUUCAUCAAGGAACCUCUACAUCUAUGUUUUAUCUGUUAAUAGUUCAUCUGCUGUAGUACAAAUCGGAUCUCCACAGCAAAGAGACUGGACUGGUCUGAAAACUGACACAGGAGGGGAGGAGGAAUUGUGUAGCUGCCUUUACGAAGACCCAGCUUGCUGAAGCUUCCAGCCCCAAAGCUAUGCUGAUCCUAUCCUGUCCUUCCAAACUGCGCCUGCUGAAGGGAAUGCCGAGGAAGAGUCUCCCUCAGGCACA